GACACGGCUUGGGCUGCACCAUGGCCUCCACUCUCUCCUCCUUACUCUGUCUUGGUGAACUGGAUAUACCUCUCAGAAUAGUAUCAAAAACCACUCUCAUCAUCCUUGGCUGUAUCAUCAUUCUCUUCUUCCUCUUUUUAUUGGCCUUCUUCUGUCAUCAACACCCCUGUACUGCAUCCCCGACUGAUGACAUCUUCCUUAAUGUGUCUGGCUCCCCUCAAACAUGUAUUACUGGAAGGGGAGACCAUGAGUACAGACAUGGCCAAAAAGAGACUGACCCAUCAAAUUCAGGGGCUGAAGACCAAGAAGGAGUGAUCUACAGCCAAUUGAACAUUGAGACCCAGGGUAAGGUGAAGACAACCCCCUAUGAUACACGCAAAGAGACUAUAUAUAGCACUCUAGCUUGGCACUGAGGGCAAGAAGAGACACAUGGGUCAUUUGGAAAAGUGCAAAGCGUGAACCUCAAACAGAAGGCUGGGGAUCCAAUGUGCAAGAAGGAAAAAUGGUUCCGGGGGAAUGGCUACACAAAUUUGCCUUGUGUGGAGCACCUGGUGGAGAGGGCACAGCUGUCUAACAACUUUCUUUCAUCGGGCCUAUGGUAUACCAUCUACAAAUACAUAACUGUCAAUAACUCUUAUCCCUGAUUUAGCAACAAUAACAACCACAAAAACAUUUAAAAAAAGCAUUUAGUCUUAGAAUUACAAAAUUGCAACCGACUUUUAUCAUGUAGUGUCAAAUUGCGAUGGACCCAUAAACUAGGAUAUCACUUUGUGCAAUAGCAUCUUUUCUGUUCUCUUUCUAUGGACAAAGUAAAUUAUGGAAUUGUU
rnacentral:lncRNA from 1 species